CCUACGGUGUGCUGCAGUGGGGAAUAUUGCACAAUGGGGGAAACCCUGAUGCCGCGACGCCGCGUGAGUGAAGAAGUAAUUCGUUAUGUAAAGCUCUAUCAGCAGGGAAGAAAAUGACGGUACCUGAGUAAGAAGCCCCGGCUAACUACGUGCCAGCAGCCGAGGUAAUACGUAGGGGGCAAGCGUUAUCCGGAUUUACUGGGUGUAAAGGGAGCGUAGACGGCAGUGCAAGUCUGGAGUGAAAGGCGGGGGCUCAACCCCCGGACUGCUCUGGAAACUGUACGGCUGGAGUGAAGGAGAGGUAAGUGGAAUUCCUAGUGUAGCGGUGAAAUGCGUAGAUAUUAGGAGGAACACCAGUGGCGAAGGCGGCUGUCUGGUCUGCAACUGACGCUGAGGCUCGAAAGCAUGGGUAGCGAACAGGAUUAGAUACCCUGGUAGUC
rnacentral:rRNA from 1 species